ensembl:lncRNA
AUAAGAGGUGACUAGUGAAAUGUAAAUCACAGAAGUGUGAUUUUAUUUUAAUUUGAUUUAUUUCACCAGGUAGGCUAGUUGAGAACAAGUUCUCAUUUACAACAGCGACCUGGCCAAGAUAAAGCAUAGCAGUGUGAACAGACAACAGAGUUACACAUGGAAUAAAAGUCAAUGACACAGAAUUAUUAUUUUUUAUUAAAAAAAAAGAGUCUAUAUACAUUGUGUGUAAAGGCAUGAGGUAGGUGAAUAAUUACAAUUUAGCAGAUUAACACUGGAGUGAUAAAUGAUCAGAUGGUCAUGUGCAGGUAGAGAUACUGUUGUGCAAAAGAGCAGAAAAGUAAAUAAAUAAAAACAGUUUGGGGAUGAGGUAGGUAAAUUGGGUGGGCUAUUUACCGAUGGACUAUGUACAGCUGCAGCGAUCGGUUAGCUGCUCAGAUAGCAGAUGUUUGAAGUUGGUGAGGGAGAUAAAAGUCUCCAACUUCAGCGAUUUUUGCAAUUCGUUCCAGUCACAGGCAGCAGAGAACUGGAAGGAAAGGCGGCCAAAUGAGGUGUUGGCUUUAGGGAUGAUCAGUGAGAUACACCUGCUGGAGCGCGUGCUACGGAUGGGUGUUGCCAUCGUGACCAGUGAACUGAGAUAAGGCGGAGCUUUACCUAGCAUGGACUUGUAGAUGACCUGGAGCCAGUGGGUGAUGAAAGGGGACAUAAGAUAAAACACUUAUGUAAACACCAGUACGUACACCAGUAACAUGUGAAACAGGAAAUGAACUACCAUCCUGAAGUAUGACUAAAAAUAAAAAGCACAGCAGUUUUUUGGGGCGAGACAAACGGGAGACGUUCAUCAGUAGGAAUAAACACCAUCCAUGUUACCGUGACGUCGACGGGCUCAGUUCCAUCUCUUGGCUAUCAACCCCCCUCCCUCCCUCCAACACCUACAAGCAGAUGACAAAUACAAUGACAGCAAUUGUAAAACAUCCACCUGGGCUCCUUUGAGUUCAAAUGUUUACCCAAAAUACCUGAUUUCACACUGUCGUCUUGUUUUCUGACGAUUGGGCUAGGUGUUGCAUGUCUAGUGUGGGGGCUAGGUGUUGCAUGUCUAGUGUGGGGGCUAGGUGUUGCAUGUCUAGUGUGGGGGCUAGGUGUUGCAUGUCUAGUGUGGGGGCUAGGUGUUGCACACACACGUUCUGGACAUUGCAACAGUUCAUUCAUGCAUAGAUCAUCAGAAACACUACAAACAUACCACCAGCAUGUAUACAGGUUUCAGACCACCAGCAUGUAUACAGGUUUCAGACCACCAGCAUGUAUACAGGUUUCAGACCACCAGCAUGUAUACAGGUUUCAGACCACCAGCAUGUAUACAGGUUUCAUACCACCAGCAUGCAAUGCAACGGUCAUUGACAGCUGUAUAAGAUGCUUGGUUAGUAUAGCCAGAGUUGAUGUCUCAAGAGAUACAUUAGAUAGAGUUGUAGCUAUAAAUGAUCGUGUUAGGGUUAUAGAGAGGUAUAAUGUUAUAGCUACCUCAACCAUAAUGUUCUUCUCUGGGGAUUUUGUAGAGACAUUGCAUCUCUUCUUGGCACCCCUGCCUGUAGUUGGUGGGCUUUCUUCCCGUUGACGCUUCUUCUCGGGUACCUCAUUCACGGAAUCACAGUUAAAACACCUGGUCUUGGUAUCACUAACAAAAAAGCUGUUAGAAUUGUAAGUAUAUGCAUGUCCCUGUGUAAUUGUAAUGUGAUAUUGUACCCCCUAGCGCGAUUGUCCAUGGUUUGUAAUCUAUGUAUGCUUGUGUUCUCUCAUGUGCUUUAUGUAUUGAUUUGUUGUUAAUAAUAAAACAUUUAAAAUAAUAAAAAACCUGGUCUUGGUAUCAUCUCUUCCGGUCUCUACUGGGCCUUGUUGGGAAUUCAUAACUUCUUCGCCGGGAGUUCCAAACGCCGGUGUUUGCGUUGUAGCUUUCCAUGCAUGUAACACAUGCAUGGUCUUUUCAACCUUACUAAUGUUACGAAAACACUUCUGACAUCAUUGUCGAUGUAUCUUCGUGCAGUGUCAGGUUUAUGCCGAGGGAUGAUAACCUAGUCAGAAUGGUACAAUUCGACUUUGACACAAGGGAACGCACAUGUUGGAGCGCACCAAAUAUCCUUCGAUUUUGGUCGCAGAGACGGCAUCUAUCAAGAUGGUUUGCAGCUUUAGGCAUAGUUCAACAAAACAGUGGCGCAACUAAACUGUACCAUAACAAUGUCAACAAACUGAAAACGUCUCAUCCCGACGUUCUGGCUGCCAGUGUCGCGCCAAAAUCAC